UCCAGACUCCUACGGGAGGCAGCAGUGAGGAAUAUUGGUCAAUGGCCGGAAGGCUGAACCAGCCAUGCCGCGUGAAGGUCAGUGCCCUAUGGGCGUUAAACUUCUUUUGUGCGGGAGCAAUAAUGGUCACGUGUGGCCAGACGAGAGUACCGUACGAAUAAGCACCGGCUAACUACGUGCCAGCAGCCGCGGUAAUACGUAGGGUGCGAGCGUUAAUCGGAAUUACUGGGCGUAAAGGGUGUGCAGGCGGCUGAGUAAGACAGAUGUGAAAUCCCCGGGCUUAACCUGGGAACCGCAUAUGUGACUGCUUGGCUAGAGUGCGUCAGAGGGAGGUGGAAUUCCACGUGUAGCAGUGAAAUGCGUAGAUAUGUGGAAGAACACCGAUGGCGAAGGCAGCCUCCUGGGACGCAACUGACGCUCAUACACGAAAGCGUGGGGAGCAAACAGGAUUAGAUACCCGGGUA
rnacentral:rRNA from 1 species